GGAAGGACAACUUGUUCCUUGUAACCUUCAGUGUUGGACAACUUCAGCUGAAGGCAGCUGUGUGCUCCUGCCCCUGGCUCUUGCAGAACCUUCUCUUGCCCAGAGGGACUUAUUCUGCCGGAUGCUGUCACAUGUGUCACUGCCUGAGCCCCGAGAGAGGCGAUGUGGAGCCUUCUUCUAGCCAGGCCUGGGCCUGGGCCUGUGUGUGAGCACAGAAGGCUGGCUGGUCAUCCACUGCCGCGAUGUGAAUCCAGUCACAUGUACCGGAUCAGCACUCACUGCACACUUAGACACAGUCGAAUCCUUGGCAGCCAAGGGAUGGAAUUACUGAUGUGCCUUUCCUUGCUGCCAACCUCCAGCAAGUGUUCCCAUGGCCUCUGCCUCUGGGUUUUCACUCUCUGGAAGCAGUCUGGAAGAAGGCACCGGUGACCACUGCAGACUCAUGGAGAGAUCCAGCCACCAUCUUGUAACGAGAGGCCACGUGACUAGGAGGUAGACCAGAGGGAGCCACUGCUGUAGCAGGAAGCAGAUUGCAAGUGUCUCGAGGUACCUUGUCAUCUGACCUGAUUCCGGCCCAUCCCUGGAGUCAGCUUGCUGGCACCCAGUGUUUUGCCAAGUGGCCACCUCAGAGCAGCUUCCUUGGAGAGCCUUCAGGAAAUAUGAACUCCAGUGAAGGACGGCUUAGACCCAUUUAUCUUCUCUGAAGAGACGGGGGAUCCUGGGACAAGCUGGCUAGCUAGGCUAGCCAAAUUGCAAGCUUUGAAGUCAAGGGAGAUCCCUGCCUCAGUAUAUAAGGUGAAGACUGAUGUUAAUCUUUGACCUCCACAUGAACUUUCAUAUACACACAUACCACCUACACACAUUUCAUCACAGACAUAAACAUGAACACACACAUAUAUAUACACACACGCACAUAUAUACACACGCACAGAGAGAAGCAUACCACACAUAUACACAUGCAAAAAAAAAUUUUUUCAUUUAAGUAAAGCUGUCAAGCCAAUCAGAAGACAAAGGUAAGGAGAAGGUUGGUUGUCUCUGUUCCUAAGAGACGCUGGGUGCAGUGUAAUACCCAGGAGCUAGGGGUUUGACAGCGCCAUAUUGCUCUCAACUAAACUGCUGACCCAAGGGCUGGUAGCCAUGGCCCAGUGGCAGAACACUCCUCAGCAUGCACAGGGCUCUGUCCCUAAUGCUGCACACAAACAGAAAUGACAAGAACCAGCCUGGUGGUGCUGGUAGCACAUGCCCUUAAUCCCAGCACUCAGGAGGCAGAGGUAGGCUAGCCUGGUCUACAGAUAGAGUUCCAAGAUAUCCAAGAAACUCUGCUUUGAAAAACAAAACCAAAAAAAACAAAAAACAAAAAACCCAAACAAAACAAAAUAAAACAAAACAAAAGAGAGAGAGAGAGAGAGAGAGAGACAGAGAGACAGAGAGAGACAGAGAGAGGCAGAGACAGAGACAGAGAGAGACAGAGACAGAGAGAGAAAAGCAAAAAAGAAAGAAACAAAGAAAAAGAAAAGAAAAGAAAGAAGAAAAGAAAUGACAAGAACCACUAAAUCCCCAGACAUUUGGAAACAAGGGAUGCUGUGGUUUGUCCAUUUUGAAAACUCACCAUGACCAUGAAUCCUUAUUCUGAUCAACAGAACUGUUUUUGCGGGUAGAGUGUAGAGGCUGGGGGAUACAUACUUACUGUCUCUAGAGCUGUGAUGCCCUGUGCCACCAUAGGACUCUGCCGGAUGGAAGGCAGAUAUGGCCUCCUGACCUUGGACCACAACAGUGAGUCAAAACACAGAUCUUUUCCUGAUCCCGUUGUAAAGUCGGCAUUACAGAGCUUCUCUGCGCACAAGUCCGUAAACUUCGUUGUUAGUGCUCCCACCCCACUGCCCUCCUCCUUCCUGUCCUCUCGCUACCUUUCUUCCUCCCCAGAUAGUCCUCCCUUCUGCUUUCACGUCUCACCCGUCUCAGCUCUCGAUGAGCUGAUUCAGUGGAGAAAGGCGUGGCUGAUGGCCUGCAGCUGAUACACAGGACAAAAGGAGAGAAUGACUCCUACAAGUGUCAUCUGAUCUCUAAGGUGUGUCAGCA